UGAAAAAUUCAAGCUCAAAUAUGUUACACUAGUUAACCCUGUUUUCACUGUGGCAGAUGAUGUUGUAAAACUCAUCUGAUCCCAGAUCAGCAACACUGCUUGAGGCGAGACAGGUCGUGCAGUAGAUCAUCGGAGCAGAUGUAGCUACCAGCGAGGUCUGGGCCUCGGUAACUUUUACAACAGGCUACUCUGUUUUUUUUGUUGUUGUUUUUCUAAGUGAAAGUGAUUUUUUUUAUUUUAAGUGCCCUAAUGUGGACAUUAUGUUAUGGGACAACUGUAAACUGGGCAAAUAAAAGGGAGCGAGUCAAAUCCGCAUACUCCACCUUUAAAACUGCAAAAUCAAAUGUGUAAAUCAAAGCAAAAACAACAACACUGUAGACUGUCAGCCUGCUUUUAACCUGAUGGUAUGAUCUCUACCUGUCAUCACACUUGAUUGCUUGCACGCACAUACGCAUCAACACAAUGUGCGGAGUGGAGCGCACAUGGCGAGGAGGAAAAAUGGACAUCACAGGAGAAAGAGGAAGAGAAGGAAGGAGAGGAAGAGAGGAGGUGGAGCUGAGAGGGAGGAAAGUGCAGCUAAAAGCUGCAAAAUUACAGAUAUGUUCACGAGCAGAAACAUGCUAGCAGGGCCGCUCUCGGCACUUAAUAUCACAAUAAGUUCCCUUCCCGAGUUGAGUCUAUGUUUAACAAAUGAAUAAUCAUCAACAUUUAAUCAUGCUGUAGCAAAAUAGAUAAUAAAGAGCUGUAUGCUCUUUUCUGUCAGGUGGAAGUGCACUUGGCUAACUCUUGAAAAUGAAGACACUGUUUUUAACUAUUUUGAAUGUUUUUUGAAGCAGUUUUUGUGUGUAGUGAUAAACCUAAAAGAUAUUUUACUGGCAAACAGGUAAAUAUUUCAACAACACGGCUACAGUAUACGUGGUCUGUUGUGGAUGUGUGAAUUAUCAUCCUGGUGCUGGUGCUGGUGCUGUGUUGAAGUCUGUUUCCCCGUCGAUAUGUGUUUCCCCUUACCUUAACCUGACCCUAAACCCAACCAGUUAUAGUUUGGUGAGUUAAAGUGUUUUAGCCCGGAUAUUCAACACAAAUCACAGAAAUCAAAAAGACGACAACAAAAGCCGAAGAUGAGAGCAGAGCAGGUGGAUGAGCACCAGAGGAGGAAGAGACGGAGUCAUCAGCCGGAGAAUCACUGGAGGCUCUAAUUCUCUUACGCGCACACACACACACACACACACACUCGUGUGCUCCACUCAAAUGUCAAACGCAAUUUGUUGACAAGACGAGAGAAAGGGCAGCGGCAACAAGCGUGCAAAGAUCUCUUUUUCUGCUUUUUCCUCCAAUCCCUCCCUUUUCCUGCCUCUCUGCAGCAGCGGCCUGACAUAUCGGCAUCAAACACGCCGACUGUCACGGCUGCUUUUUCACUUAUCUGCUCACAUUAUUCACAUUUGCUGGCACAUGCUGUGAGUGACGAUGGGGCGAGGUUAAAAAAAAGAAAAAGAAAGAAAGAAUAAGAGUAAUCAUCGAUUUUAAAGCAACCCACGUACAGUCAUCAAGUGGCGAGAAACAUGACUCCAAAUGAAUGCUAAUGUUGCUCUGUGUCUUGUCUGUUUGCUAUGUUGAAGGUGGGGUCUGCGAUUCUGGAGAAAGCCAAACAAAUACACCCCUCCCUUCAGUGCUCCUCCAGAACCUCCACCCCCCAAAUUCAUGGACGCGCACUGCCGAGGCAACGACACUUAACAACUGGGCAAUAUGGCAGAAUCCAGAGCGUCUGCUGCCCGAGGGUAAGUUGGCCUCAAUAAGGGGAAACUAUUUUUAUCGCUAUGAAAAUACAGGUGACAUAUGUUUUUUGUAAUAGCUACUGUAGCAAGUUUGGCAAUAAGCCUGUCAAUAUUUAAACAGGUGUCGAAGCCAAAGUCUAAGCCGAGGAGUAGCUUAGCCUACGUAUCGAUAACUUUAUCGCUAGUAACUUCAACAGUAACAGUAACUUAUGCUCUACCAUCAGCUAUACAUUACGUAGCAGGUAAAAUAUUUUCCCACCGAUUUGGCAAGAUAAUAUUAUUAAUGUUAUUUACGUUUCAUUACUAUCAUGGCGUAGCUCCGUUUCUCGUGGGCGAGGGCGUGGAAGAGAGACAGUAACCGGUAGUUCUUCUGCUGUUCUUGUGGCCCAAAAAUAUUGAUUAAUGUAGCUUUAAGUUUGUUUAAAUUAGGAAACAAACACCGACAUUAUGCUCAGUUGCCAGUUUAUUUGGCACAGCUAGCUAAAACUAAUGCAGUCUAAUAUAAAUGUCCUGUAAUAAAUCCUUCAUGAAGGUUAUAAUGUUCAGUUUGUGUUGAAACUGUAUUAGAGAGGCAUCGAUUCAACUUUAUGAUCCUUUUAGCGGCUGUAGCUUGUGGUGUUGUUGAACUGCGUUGCGUUAUACUGACUGCCGUUUCUAGUAUUUUGUCCACCCCAUUUAUAUCAACGAGGGCAGGCUACCUACUGAACUGGAAACUGAAUGUAUAUGAUUUGAACCCAUGUUUUUCACGGCCAUAUUAAAAUACUUUAGAUGUUUGGGCAUCUUUUUAUUCACCCUUGCCAUUCAUAAAUUCUUUUUGUGAAUUCAAACUAAGUUUUGUGGGUUUAAGUUUCACCUCACAAAUGUCUGUAAAGACCGACCCACUGGUGAGUCAGAAAAUAUAUCUUAAAGACAUGAAAUGGUAUAACAGAGAAGUCCAACCAAUACAGUUAUCACACUUGUUUUAUUAAUCCAUCUUUUCUAUAUAUAUAUAUAUAUAUAUACAGACGUGGGACAAAUGAAAGGUAAAACCUGAAUAAAAAGGAGAAACUUCAAAUGCAGAUGCUUCCGUGCAGCAGGGCUCACUGAACGGUUCGGUGAGGAUGAAAAUGACGUGAAUGAAAUGCUUCGGCCUUUACGGUCACCAGAUCUCAACCCAGUUUCACACCUGUGGGAGAUUGAACGUGUAAGACGACGCUCUCCACCGCCAUCUCCACAAGGCGAAAUGAUAUAAUAUGAACUUUCAUCUUCAAAUCUAUUUAGUGACGUCUCUGACUGGCUCUGAUGCUGUAUGUCCUUGUGUUGUGUCUGGCUAUGUUUGUAUUUCUUUCUAUCUGCCGUACUCAGGUCUCUCUUGCAAAAGAGACCUUGACCUGAUUAAAUAAAGGUUGUAUAUAUAAAUGAGGGAAUAUCCUGUGUAGGAACGGUGUUCAUCCCUCCCAUAGAGCUCCACAGCAAGGAGCACUGAAGCUGCUCUGGAGGCUCGUGGUGGCCGGACUCCAUACUAAGACACUUCAUGUUGGUUUUUCCUUUCAUUUGUCACCCAUCUACAUAUAUAUACAGAUGGGGCAGGAAAUUAGGGGAGGGAGAUGGGGGACAACAUGAAAUAAAGGUCUAAGGAUGGACUCAAACUAGGGACACCGUGACCACACAGUAACUGUCCCAAUCCCGCCUCUCUUCCCAUUCUGUCAAAUUACACUUAAGAUUGACUCCUCAAUGACCUUUUACUGUACAUCACAUAGAAGAAGUAAUGAUACCAUUUUAUGGGAACUUUAAAGGCUGCAUAGGAGACCAAAUGGUUUUUUUCGAUGUAUUUUCUCUUCAAAUUGUUGUGAUAUGACAGCGGCUGUGCUGCUCGCAAAGUGAACGACGGCCUGCAAUAAGCUGCUCUUGUGCGGCAGACAUCGAAACAGUUCGUCAAACAGCCAGCGGCGACCUGCACGCCGUCUGAACAACAACAGAGGAGGAGGCAGAGGAGGAGGAGGAGGAGGAGGCGGCCUCUCUCUGUGUGGGGAGUCUCCUGUAACAGCCAAUCAGCAGACAGACUGAGCACCGCCACCGCCUGAAGAACAACACACAUGUACUGUGUGUCAUCAUUAUCUUCACCACCGUCCAUCCUUUGCUGCUCACAGUAUUACAGCUACUUCCCCCACAACAGCCAAACUGCCUCCAGAUGGAGUUCAGGAGGAGGCUGAGAGGGAGAAGAGGGGGCAGAUCCCCGACUCCAGCCACUCCAAUGCGCCGUAGAGUGGAGAAGCCGGCCCAUGUGAUCCUGACACUGCAAAUCAAACCCCCCCCAUCCAGGUGCUUUUCACCCCCCCUCCCUGCACGUGACUCAGCAACUCACCCACUCUGAAAGUGGCUCUGGAUCAGCAGGCCGGCCGGUUUGGCUGGAUCAAACAUGAGCCAGAGGAACGACGCACAUAAAUCUUACAGACAGAUCUGCAGCUUUGAAGAGUUGAAGGGCGGCUUUUGUCUGCUGUGACUGGGUACAUCAAUCUCAUUUUAAUUUCAGUGACUUUCACCUUAACAACAACACCCUUCGGUAGGGGUUUCACAGCAACAAGCCCGGUUAGAUCUUCCUGAUCACAUCUCACAAAAUGAAAAAACACGUGAUGGCAUGCAGGAAAAGAGAGCUGAUUUAGCUGUGGGGGCAGCUGCUCGAGAUUAAAUGUUUACCUGCAUCUAUUAACAGUCAACACGAUUAUAAACUGUUUAAAUUCCAGUCGGGAUCCCAAAGUUUCCAAAAAUAUAAACUAUGUCUAGCAGAAUUUUGGAGAAAUGUGUAUAAAAUGAUGCACAAGAUUAAGGCUGCAACUAAUGAUUAUUUCUUUAUGGAUUAAUAUGGAGAUUAUUUCUUCGAUUAAUCAUUUAGUCUAUAAAAUAAAAUGACGUCAUAAA